rnacentral:rRNA from 1 species
AUGUUGUCCUGGCCACCAAGGUGCAAUAGCAGGAACGGAGCCCAGAACGCCACUAACUGGUGCUCCGGCGACCUGCUGGUCACCGACAUAUGGCCCAGAGUGUAUAUGGCCGUUGUGUCAGCCAGUAGAUAUGCCGACCACACGACGACCCUUAGCACGCCGGAGUCUUUCCGACGGCGGAUCUCCGCCGUGAUGAGGAGAGUUACCUGGAGUGCUAAACUCAGCAGCACCAGCACUUGGAUCCCCCACUCUCUCCAGAGCGCCACUAGCUGA